CUGUGCAUCUCAGCAGGCAGAGCUCUGGGACGUCACCAACAUGAACUGGACCCAUCACCUGCUCGCUCUCCUCCUUCUCUGCACAGGUGA
rnacentral:pre_miRNA from 1 species